rnacentral:rRNA from 1 species
CUAUACCGUGAAACUGCGAAUGGCUCAUUAAAUCAGUUAUCGUUUAUUUGAUAGUACCUUUACUUGAAUAACUGUGGUAAUUCUAGAGCUAAUACAUGCUAAAAACCUCGACUUCGGAAGGGGUGUAUUUAUUAGAUAAAAAACCAAUGCCCUUCGGGGCUCCUUGGUGAUUCAUAAUAACUUAACGAAUCGCAUGGCCUUGCGCCGGCGAUGGUUCAUUCAAAUUUCUGCCCUAUCAACUUUCGAUGGUAAGGUUUUGGCUUACCAUGGUCUUAACGGGUAACGGGGAAUUAGGGUUCGAUUCCGGAGAGGGAGCCUGAGAAACGGCUACCACAUCCAAGGAAGGCAGCAGGCGCGCAAAUUACCCAAUCCCGACACGGGGAGGUAGUGACAAUAAAUACUGAUACAGGGCUCUUUUGGGUCUUGUAAUUGGAAUGAGAACAAUUUAAAUCCCUUAACGAGGAACAAUUGGAGGGCAAGUCUGGUGCCAGCAGCCGCGGUAAUUCCAGCUCCAAUAGCGUAUAUUAAAGUUGUUGCAGUUAAAAAGCUCGUAGUUGAACUUUGGGUCUGGCUGAUCUGUCCUCCUAAUCGAGCGCACGGAUUCGGUCGGACCUUUCCUUCUGGGGAACCCUAUGCCCUUCACUGGGCGUAGCGGGGAACCAG